GCCGCUUUAAGGGAAUAAGGCAGAAGGUCGGGGAAAUGUCCAUGUCUGGCUUUUCAAGGAAAACCAACCACUGGUGCCUCCAGGGGACUCCUCCAAAGCCUAAGCUGGCUGUUUCUGUCUUUCCUCAUUGGGAAAUGAGCCGGCCAAGGUCAGACUCCACCACGUCAUGAUCUCAGCUCAAGCACCUCUUAAAAUAAAGUGCCUCUGCUCUAGGCACUGCUCUCUGUGGAGUGACCCAGGGAGUAAUUCCCUUGACGAGCGGAGAAAGGGACACUCCAGAGAAGGGCUCCUCUCUGCCUCCUUUGAAGGUGGGCCUCAGGGAACCCUGCCAACCUCCACCAGUAGAGCCACUCUGCUAGGCAGCCCAGGAGAGGGGGAGUUGAGAAAAGCUGGGCCCUAAUUAAAUGCAGCCCCAGGCAUGGUGGAGCAAGGGCCCUGAAGCAGAACUAACAAAAGUCACCGUGUUUUGUGAAUAAGGAAGAGGGACUUGAGUGGCCCUUGGCUCCAGCUUUGUACCUUCCCUUGCACCCACUGUUGAGCAGUAGAGAGAGGUGCUCAGAGCACAGUGUGGUGGAAAUUAGAGGCUGUCCCUCCCACUAGCUGUGUCUGCACAUUUUAAGGCUUUUGCUGUGUACACCAGAUUGUCCUUCAGAGUGUGCUGCCAACUAAUUGCACUGUGGAGAGCAGGCUGGGCAGUCCCCACGUCACUCUAUGUGGCGUAGUACAGCGGAGCCCAGAGUCACUCCGUUUUGAAAAGCAGCUGUUUGCCAUGAGCUACUGCAUUUUGAAUGCAAGUACUGAGGCAGAAUGACUUGGGAACUUAUCUGGGCAGGAAGAUAAUCACCAGAUGUUGGAUGUACAAAGAACUUAUCCAAAAGAAUAAUCCAGGCAGGCCCCGUGAAGCACACCAGUAAUUCUACGUCUCAGGAGGCUGAGCAGGAGGACAUGAGUUCAAAACCAGCCUCAGCAAAAGCAAGGCACUGAGCAACUCAGUGAGAUCUGUCUCUAAAUAAAAUG
rnacentral:lncRNA from 1 species